rnacentral:rRNA from 1 species
GGUUGCGAUCAUACCACACUAAUGCACCGGAUCCCAUCAGAACUCCGCAGUUAAGCGUGCUUGGGCGAGAGUAGUACUAGGAUGGGUGACCCCCUGGGAAGUCCUCGUGUUGCAACCC